GACGAACGCUGGCGGCGUGCUUAACACAUGCAAGUCGAACGGAAAGGCCCUGCUUUUGUGGGGUGCUCGAGUGGCGAACGGGUGAGUAACACGUGAGUAACCUGCCCUUGACUUUGGGAUAACUUCAGGAAACUGGGGCUAAUACCGGAUAGGAGCUCCUGCUGCAUGGUGGGGGUUGGAAAGUUUCGGCGGUUGGGGAUGGACUCGCGGCUUAUCAGCUUGUUGGUGGGGUAGUGGCUUACCAAGGCUUUGACGGGUAGCCGGCCUGAGAGGGUGACCGGCACCAUGGGGACUGGGAAACGGCCCAGACUCUUCCGGGGGGAAGAGGGGGGGAUUAUGGCACAAGGGCCGGAGCCCGAAGGAAGAAACGCGGCGGGGGGAAGGUGGCCCUUCGGGUGUAAACCGCUUUCGCCUGUGACGAAGCGUGAGUGACGGUAAUGGGUAAAGAAGCACCGGCUAACUACGUG
rnacentral:rRNA from 1 species